rnacentral:rRNA from 1 species
UUGUCGGAGAGCGUCGCGUGCCGGUCUCGGCGCGCAGCGUGAUCCUUCCAUACGUCGAACCUUUACGACUCUCGGCAACGGAUAUCUUGGCUCUCGCAUCGAUGGAAAACGCAGCGAAAUGCGAUACUUGGUGUGAAUUGCAG